GCAGGAUUGAGGAGAUCAUAAUUGAAGAGUUGUGUGUUUUGGACUCCAGUGAGAGCAACAGAUAACUAUUGCUAAGCAGAGUCAAGCAACAUCAUCUGGAGAUUUGGAAACUCUGACUGGGAUAACUGAAGCAGGUUAUAAAUGGAAGAGCAGCAGGCUUGAGCUUCUUGGUCAAGUUUGUGCGUGGGCAUUUCAGUUUGAAAAUAUUCUCAAUGAGAAAAAGAAUGUGUCCUGUUAAUGUGACAGGCUAUAGAGAGAGGGGAGAGAAUUCACUCUCAUAGAUUUCGAAGUUUCAGAACAACAUAUUCAAAGCUUACAGUAAUAUUGGAACAGGGGGACUAUAGCCUAAGAGCAAAACCAAGUU
rnacentral:lncRNA from 1 species